ACUUUAGAUGGAAAUAAAGGGUAGCAUUUUCAAGAAAAUGAGAAUGAAUAAAUCAUCCCUGGUUUUCAAAAGAGAGACCAUAUUAAACUUACAUAAGUGAAGACGGCAUCCCCCUGCCUUCAGUGCCAGCAGUUUUUCUGUUCUGUGAUCAGUGUGAUUCACAGGAGCUUCUUAAGUAACAAACGAAAUGAGCCCAGGGCAUGGAAAAUAUGAUUUCUAUAUUGGUUUGGGAUUGGCUAUGACCUCCAGCAUUUUCAUAGGAGGGAGUUUCAUUUUGAAAAAAAAAAAAAAGGCCUUCUGCGACUUGCCAGAAAAGGACCCAUGAGAGCAGGUCAAGGUGGCCAUGCAUAUCUUAAAGAAUGGUUGUGGUGGGCUGGACUACUGUCAAUGGGGGCAGGCGAGGUGGCCAACUUCGCUGCAGAUGCCUUUGCACCAGCCACGCUAGUGACUCCACUGGGAGCUCUCAGUAUCCUUGUAAGUGCCAUUCUUUCUUCAUACUCUCUAAAUGAAAGACUUAAUCUUCAUGGGAAAAUUGGAUGUUUGCUAAGCAUUCUAGUAUCUGCAGUUAUGGUCAUCCAUGCUCCAAAGGAAGAGGAGAUUAAGAGACGUUAAUUGAAAUGUCACACAAGUUAGGUGAUCCAGGUUUUGUGCUAUUUGCAACAAUUGUGGUCAUUGUGUCCUUGAUAUUAAUCUUUGUGGUGGGACCUCGCCACGCACAGACAAAUACUCUUGUGUACAUAACAAUCUGUUCUGUGAUUGGAGCGUUUUCAGUGUCCUGUGCAAAGGGCAUGGGCAUCACCAUCAAAGAACUAUUAGCUGGAAAGCCUGUGCUGUGGCAUCCCCUGGCCUGGAUUCUGCUGCUGAGCCUCGUCACCUGUGUGAGCACACAGAUCAAUUACCUAAACUGGGCCCUGGACAUAUUCAACACUUCCCUUGUAACACCAAUAUAUUACGUUUUCUUUACAACCUCAGUUUUAACUUGUUCAGCUAUUCUUUUUAAGGAGUGGCAAGAUAUGCCUGCUGAUGAUAUCAUUGGGACUCUGAGUGGCUUCUUCACAAUCAUGUGGGGAUAUUCUUGUUGCAUGCCUUUAAAGAUGUCAGCUUUAGUCUAGCAAGUCUGCCUGUGUCUUUUCGAAAAGAUGAUAAAGCAAUGAAUGGCAAUCUCCCUACUAUGUAAUAAUAAUGAAGAAAGCUUAUCCUGUGGAAUUGAACAACACAGUGGUGAGAAUACCUCAUGGAGAAAUGGAAAUCUGACAGGUUUUUAA